UAUAUAUAUAUAUAUAUAUAUAUAUAUAUAUAUAUAGAGAGAGAGAGAGAGAGAGAGAGAGAGAGAGAGAGAGAGGAGAGUUUUGCUAGAAUACUAUCGGUAGUAAACGGCAAGGUUUACUACCGAUUUGUUUUCGAUGAUAGAGCUUCCAAAUUGAUGAUCGGCACCGUUAAACAUCAUCUAAACUAUUUAAACUAUCGGGAAAUCAAAUUUCACACAUUUUCGAUAUUGUUCUCUUGUCCAUCGAGUGACAAAAAAAUGAAUGGCUGGAAAUGAAUAUCCUUCAAAAAGUGAUGAUACAAUUUUUAUAUUUGAAAUCUAAAGUCUAGAUCUUAUUUUAAAUAGUUUAAAAAAAAUUUUAACAAAAAUUUAGUUGAUUUGAACUCUUCUAUACCGUUAAACGAGCAAACGCAUCAUAUCGGCCAUUAAAAUUAUAGAUUUUGUGACCCUUUGAUCGUUCAGUUAGUGAUGCCAACAAAUCAUGAAAUUUUAUUUUUAGAUAAUUUAAAUGGUCUAGAUCAUGUUCAACGGUGCCGAUCGUCGAUUUGGAAACUCUAUCAUCAUAAAUAAAUCGGUAGUAAACCGAGCAGUUUACUACCGUUAGUAGCACAGUAAAACUCUUUCUCUCUCUAUAUAUAUAUAUAUAUAGAAUUACGCUACUAUACUAUCAAUAGUACCAAGUCCUUGGUACUUUUGAGUUUUCGGCCGUUGGUUUCAAUUUCUCUCUUUUAGGGCACUGCGAGUGUGCNAUAUAUAUAUGUAUAUAUAUAGUGUAGAGCUACUAUACUAUUGGAAGUAUAAAGGAUUUGAUCCUUCCUAUUUUUUGACCAUUGGAUCAAAAAUUGUAUGGUAGGGAUGAUUGCAGUCCCCUUAGAGUUCAGUAUUACCCUUAGGAUUGAGUGGUCCCCAUAGGGUAAUAAUGUUAAUUCAAAUAUUACAAAUAAUUAAAGGGGCUGAUCUAAGAGCCAAAAAGUCGGAAGCACCAGAUCCGUUAUGCUUUCGAUAACAUAGUAACUCUACUCAUAUA
rnacentral:lncRNA from 1 species